CAUACCACUUGUUGCCUCGGCGGAUCAGCCCGCUCCCGGUAAAACGGGACGGCCCGCCAGAAGACCCCUAAACUCUGUUUCUAUAUGUAACUUCUGAGUAAAACCAUAAAUAAAUCAAAACUUUCAACAACGGAUCUCUUGGUUCUGGCAUCGAUGAAGAACGCAGCAAAAUGCGAUAAGUAAUGUGAAUUGCAGAAUUCAGUGAAUCAUCGAAUCUUUGAACGCACAUUGCGCCCGCCAGUAUUCUGGCGGGCAUGCCUGUUCGAGCGUCAUUUCAACCCUCAAGCACAGCUUGGUGUUGGGACUCGCGUUAAUUCGCGUUCCCCAAAUUGAUUGGCGGUCACGUCGAGCUUCCAUAGCGUAGUAGUAAAACCCUCGUUACUGGUAAUCGUCGCGGCCACGCCGUUAAACCCCAACUUCUGAAUGUUGACCUCGGAUCAGGUAGGAAUACCCGCUGAACUUAA
rnacentral:rRNA from 1 species